rnacentral:hammerhead_ribozyme from 1 species
AUCCAGCAGAUGAAUCCCAAAUAUGACCAAACGCGUGUCCUGGAU